GGGCGGGUGGCGGAAUGGUAGACGCGACGGACUUAAAAUCCGUUGGCCGCAAGGCCGUGGGGGUUCGAUACCCCCCCUGCCCA
rnacentral:tRNA from 1 species